rnacentral:rRNA from 1 species
AGGGGAUGUGGAUAACCUCGGGAAAACUGAGGAUAAUACCAACGUAUAGGUCAUAAUGUCUGGCAAUGAUUUAUGGCUAAAAUCUACAUGGCCCCUGGAUUGGAUCUGCGGCCGAUCAGGCUGUUGGUGAGGUAAUGGCCCACCAAACCUAAAACCGGUACGGGCUCUGAGAGGAGAAGCCCGGAGAUGGGCACUGAGACAAGGGCCCAGGCCCUAUGGGGCGCAGCAGGCGCAAAAAACUCUGCAAUAGGCGAAAGCUUGACCAGGGUUAUUCUGAGUGAUUUCCGCUAAGGAAAUCUUUUGGCACCUCUAAAAAUGGUGCAGAAUAAG